AAAGUAGUCUCUCCCCUACAAAGGCACGGGUAAAGUUUCUGUACAUUUCAUCUUUCAUAAACUAAUAAAAUUACACCGAGUAUAUUUAUUGUUAUUGUCAUCCCUAGAGUAGAGGCGGAGCCAACUUUCUUUAGGGUGUUCGGCCGAACCCCUAACACUCUUGAUGAAAAAAUAUACUAUUUAUCUAUGAUUAAAAUUAUUUUUUAUAUGAUUAUAGUAGAUGUUGAACCCCCUUCGACUAAGUUUUCUUUUAAUAUUGAAACCCUUUAGUUGAAAUCCUAGCUCCCGCCUCAGCCCUAGAAUAGCCACUUUCUCUCGGUGGACUUUUGUCUAUUUUCUUUAACCUUUGGUAAUAUUUAGGAGAAAAAUGGGGUUGAAAAGAUUAUCACUUAAUUGACAUGAGAAAAUGGAAUAAUCGAGAAUCUCGAGUAACUGGCCAAGCCGCCAAAGUCGCUAAGGUAGUGAUAAAUCCUGUUAAUAAAAUGGGUCCUAUAGAAAGUCCAUCUAUUCCUAAUUUUCAAUGGAAAUCAAAAAAAUCGAUCCAUUUAUAAUCCUCCACUAGUUGUAUUAAUGGAUCAUCCGAUUGGAAAUGAUAACAAAAUGCAUAAUACAUAGGCUAAGUCAACGCCUAGGAAGUAAUUCAAAUAGAAUCCAUUUGUCCGGAGGAAAAGCUAUAUUCAGUAAUAUGGAUUUCUCAAGGUAAAAUUGCUAGUCCUAUAUUAAAUUUAGCUUUAGCAUUUGUCUCUUUCUUUCUUAUGAUUAUCACUUAAUUGGGGCUAAGUCAACGCCUAGGAAGUAAUUCAAAUAGAAUCCAUUUGUCCGGAGGAAAAGCCAUAUUUAGUAAUUGGCUGGUGGGAGGUUGCAGGUAUCACAUAAAAUUAAUUGAAAAAUAUAUAAUUUGGUCCGAGCAAUACGAUUAUAAAUAGAAUAAAAAGAGCCAAAAUCAAUAAAAUGGAUGCAUAUUGUUAUGCAUACCGGUUCACACUUAUGCCGGUUUGUUUGACAUUUCCAUCAAUUUUAACCGGUCAAAUACACAAUUGUCCCACAUGCAACCUCACAAAUGCAAGAGGAGCCUCACCUAGUCGCGGUUCAAGAAGCAAAUUAACCCAGAGGUAGAGACAUGAUGGGACUAGGGAGAAAAGGGGAUUUAAGAAAUGCUACAACUGUUAGUCAAACUUAUGAUCUACAAUAAUUUUUUAGCCCUCUGUAUUAAUAUUCUAGAAGUGUUCUUUGUGUUAAUAGAAUCAACAAGCAAUAAAUAUAUACAUAAAGAAUAGUUCCACAGUUUCACUUAUGUACGUGUAAUUUUCUAACGAAUGAGAUGCAAUUAAUCAUCCCAUGGACAAUGUGUCUCCAUUACUGCAUUGCCUCAAGUCAAUAUAAAUCAUAAGGGGUUCCGGUUGCGUCCCAGCCCGGCAGACGCAAGGACAAAUUGCUUCCAUCGCAGAGGACCGGUGUCGUUUCGCGGAACCUCUUUCUAUUUUUAACCGUUUAAACAUUGAGCUUCGAAGAGCUUCAAUUCUACUGCUUUAUAAUUUUUCCUUAUUAUUCUUUUUAAGGGAAACAAAUUAAAAAGCAUGAUUGGAUAAAUAACUAUAUCCCUAAAUAAGAAGUUGAUGAGUGUGGAACAAGGAAAGACGUGCUGCUGAUAAUGCGCCAUAUGGCUAGCUGCUAUACUUUCAACUACUUAAUUAUUGAGUUGACCGAAGAACACAUUUUGUGUAAAAAUACGUUCAAAGGUGUACCUUAUCUCUUUGUUUUCUUUGCAGUAUCUCUUUGUUUUCUUUGCAGUCUGCACUAACUUAUCAAGAGGCCUUACAUAUAAUUUUCAGAACUCACAACGUUUAAAUUUGAAUCUCAUUGUCUCCUGCAGAAACCAAUACACUAUACUGCCUCUCAGAAAUUAUAGUAACCUUACGUUGAACAAAAUGGAUUCCCAGAUCUCGGAUCAUUCUUGCUGUUAGCACAAAAG
rnacentral:lncRNA from 1 species